CAGAGGAGAUAGUUUAUUGUCGCCAGUAGACCCAAACAAUAAGACAAAUUGCAAAAGAAACUCAGUCUGCUCCCAAAAGCAGAUACAUCCCAGCAGUCGAGUCACAGAGGGCCAUCUCAGUUUCUCUCCCCUUCCAACCACCCCUUCCAACCUCUCUAUAGCACACACAACCGAGAAAGUGCAUAUGUAGUUGGGUUUUCCCCUCCAAGUGCACAAAGCGCAAGAACAUUCCAAAAUUUGCCUUUGGUGAAUCAACUCAAAACACUGAGAAGUUAUUACACCUCCCCACACACACACAUUGUAACUUUUGGGGUGGGUGUGGUGAGAUGUUUGAUAUUUGUAUAUAUAAUAUAUCUAUACCUAGAGAGAGAGACUAUGUACAGUGCAUCAGCAAGCUUCAAUAAAGGAAGACGCCAGCAAGAGGCACAGCAAGAGACACAGGCUGUCCAUCUUUAAGACAUAAGUAGGAAGGAAGAUUUCUUGCUUCAUCACCCAUUAACUGCACCAAGCCAUUCCUAUGGCCUGGAACUAUCCUUUUGGACCUGCCCAGUAUUUUCAAUUGUCUGUCUGCUUAACCUGACCUUGCAAAUAUUUACCAGCCCAACCUCCCCAAGGAGACUCGCAGAGAGAAACAUGGAUCCGAUCAGCUUUUCCUUUUUAUAAACUGGAAAUAACUGUGAAGAGUCCAUAGCUAGGGGGCAGAUAGCUAUUUCCAAAGCCAGUUCCAAGGCACCUCAAAGCAGUUCAGUCCUGAAUAAUUGUGCUUUGUUCUUAUAAGCUAAAUCCCAUGGGUUAGCCAGCCCGUCUCUCUUUGCAGUGGCCCUUAGUUAGGAGGAAGAGACAGAUGGGGGGUGGGGGCAGAGGGAGGUUCUGAGAGAGCAGGAGAGGCUGGGGCAGUUGAGAAAGUCAGCCGACUAAAACCAGCAGAGCGUCGUGGUGGGAACAUGCAACCAGAAGUGGGGCUCGAACCCCACGGUAGGAAGAGGAAGAACUUGUCAGCAUAAGGUAGGAAACAGGGUAGAGAAAUGGCCGCUGUGGAAACAUCUCUCUGGUUUUCCACCUCUACUUACAGAAGCCCCAACUUCACCAUCCUGGGGGAGGCAGCUCUAUGAGUCCUCUGGAGGAGAUUCUAAGAGGCUCCAGAAGAAAAUGCAUAUGAGGGCUGAGCACCUGGGACAGAGAUGGUUCCUGACCCAGCCCCAUCUGCUGGGGCCCUGAGGCCCGUGAAGAGACAUUGCUUUUCCUGGGCCCCAGUUGAUCAGGGCAGAGGAAAAAAAGACUCCAGGAAUCUUGGGCUUCUUGAUGGAGAGUUAGAACUUCUUAGAAUACACUAGGAAAGCCCGCAAAUAAUUCCCCUAAAUGUUAUGGAUCCUGGAAAAAGCUAAGUUCCCAACAUCAGCACAGCUCCUCACUCAUCCUGGGAGAGAAGGACACUUAAAGGGUGACCAAAAAAAUGAAAUCUGCAAGCUGCAGAAAUGUAUACAACCACUCUUGGUCUCAGCUGGCAUGAGGUGCCCGCCACCCACCUCUCUGCCCCCAGCUGGCUGGCUCGAGGAUGGGCAGCGUCCAUCUGCUGCAGGCAUCCUGGUGGCUUAGCCCACCCGCAUUGGCAGUGUGUUGAUUGGCAGUUAGGUACUGAGCUGAUGAGUUUAGCAUUUCCAGAUGGGCUUGACUCGCUCACCUCACCCAGGUGUUACCAGGCUGGUUGCCCAUCCCCCACUCUGCACCCACUCUGCCUGGCCUCUGCACCCUUGACCCUGUUGUAUUGCCCCUCUUCCCUGCUGUUUCUCCCUUCCCAGGGCACAGAUUCUAGAAUCUCUUCAUCUUCCCCAACUGUAGCCUUGGAAGCAGUGUCUUGCAGAGGUGGAAUUAGUUGCACCAAAAAGUUAAUCUUGGUCCCUACAGUGCCAACCUGGCAGUCCCCAGUGCUUAUGGCUUUGUGUAUAUCCCCAGUGCCUGGCACAGUGCCUGGCACAUAAUAGAUGCUCAAUAAAUGGUUGCUGAAUUGAAGCAAAUUAAGCUGAAUCUCCCAGAUGAUAUUGCUGUCUCCCCAAAUUGGCAAUCUGAUGGGCAGAGGCAGGGAUUGGUCCCUGAGACUGUCACGGUCCUGUCUCCACCCCCUUUCCUAGACUUAUUCCCUACCCUGGGCACCUGACUCCCUGAGCAGGGGUGGGGCAGAGCUCCUGGAAAGGCUGGGAAGUGCUGGGGCAGGGAUUGGUCCCUGAGACUGUCACGGUCCUGUCUCCACCCCCUUUCCUAGACUUAUUCCCUACCCUGGGCACCUGACUCCCUGAGCAGGGGUGGGGCAGAGCUCCUGGAAAGGCUGGGAAGUGCUGGGGCAGGGAAUGGGGCAUUUGCCAGCAGCUGUGCCCUUCACACUUGCUCCCUCCCUCCCUGCUUCCCUCCACUCCUCCUCAGUCCUGGCCAGAGGGGCUGGGCUCCUGGGAGAGGGGCAGGGCUAGAGAAGCCCACCCCUCCAACUCGCCCCAUCAUGGACCAGGCCACAGAGGCCCCUCCCACUGGGAAAAUGAUGGCUCUGUUGCUUCAAACUGGAGACCGAGGAGCCAGAGAAGAGGGCAGGACCCUCAGUUUCUGUCAGUUGGAACCUCAGUUUCCCCAUUUUAAGUGAGUGACUUGGCUAGUUGAUCUCUGAGGAUCUUCCAAGGUCAUGGUCUCAGAGUCAGUGUUUCUGCCUCUUGCUCCUUCUCUCAGGCCUAAUCAAUUUCCAUUGAAUGUGAGUGUAAUGGCAGUGAUGGUUGGCUCCCCACAAUUGCCUUUUUUUUUUUUUUUUUUUUAGAGAUGGAGUCUCUCUAUGUCACCCAGGCUGAAUUGCAGUGGCACUAUCACUAUCUCAGUUCACUGCAACCUCCGCUUCCCGGGCUCAAGCGAUUCUCCUGCCUCAGCCUCCCAAAUAGCUGGGAUUACAGGCACACGCCACCACACCCAGCUAAUUCUUGUAUUUUUAGUAGAGAUGGGGUUUUGCCCAUUUCUACUAAACAGAUGGAGGUAAUCCACCCGCCUUGGCCUCCCAAAGUGCUGGGAUUACAGGCGUGAGCCACUGUGCCUGGCCUACAAUUGUCACUUUUAUCCCCACGAAGGGAGUUGUUGGGAGAGGAGCAAGUAGCGUGGCCGCAGAUGGGACAGGGCUGGCAUUGGCGGCUCAGGUUCCAAGGCCUCCCCUCAUGCUGGCCUCAGGCUUUCCCUUCCCUCUCUGUAGCCAAAAGCCAGGUGGAAACCCCACCAAGGGCAACUGGGAGAGUUCUCACUGAAGCCCCAAAGAAAGCUGCCCCACCCUGUGCAUGGCCUCCUCAUUUCCCAGCCUUGGCUGCCCCUGCCCAGGCGAGGGUGGUUACCCCAUGGAGAAGGCAGAGCCUGCAGCAACCUGCAUUCACCAUGGAGCCCCACCCCUCAGCCCCUCAGCUGACUUUGAAACUGGCCUCUGUUGGUGGGUCCCCGCUGGGAAACAUGGCCCCCUACCUGGAGCUGCUCUUCCAGUCUGGCCUCAUCCACAGUCCUAAGGGAUUAGGAGCCAACGGGAGCCCCAAGGAGGCCACUAGCAAUGGAAAUGAGGGCCCAACAUGGCCUCCUGGGCCAGGGCACAUGUCCAGCUCUGCCUGCAGCCCUGGCUUUCCGUCAGUGCCCUGGAAUGCACAGUCAUCCCCUUUAACAUGCCCCUCCAAGUUUCAGGAACUCAUCC
rnacentral:lncRNA from 1 species